CAAUAGCGCAUAUUAAAGUUGUUGCAGUUAAAAAGCUCGUAGUUGGAUUUCUGGUUGAAGCGACCGGUCGGGCGUUGAUUCGUCUGCACUGGAGUCGGUUUUGGCCAUCCUCUAGGAAAGUGCGUCUGGUAUUAAGUUAUCGGGCGUAUGAUCCUGGUCUUUUACUGUGAAAAAAUUAGAGUGUUUAAAGCAGGCCUUCGCCUUGAAUACAUUAGCAUGGAAUAAUAAGAUAGGACUUUGGUCUAUUUUGUUGGUUUGCAGACCGAAGUAAUGAUUAAUAGGGAUAGUUGGGGGUAUUUAUAUUCCGAUGUCAGAGGUGAAAUUCUUAGAUUUUCGGAAGAUAAACUUAUGCGAAAGCAUUUACCAAGGAUGUUUUCAUUAA
rnacentral:rRNA from 1 species